AUUGAACGCUGGCGGCAGGCCUAACACAUGCAAGUCGAACGAGUGGCGGACGGGUGAGUAAUGUCUGGGAAACUGCCCGAUGGAGGUGGAUAACUACUGGAAACGGUAGCUAAUACCGCAUACCAUCGGAUGUGCCCAGAUGGGAUUAGCGUGUAGGUGAGGUAACGGCUCACCUAGGCGACGAUCCCUAGCUGGUCUGAGAGGAUGACCAGCCAAACUGGAACUGAGACAGGGUUCAGACUCCUACGGGAGGCAGAAUGUGGGAAUAUGGCACAAUGGGCGGAAGCCGUAUGCAGACAUGCCGCGUGUAUGAAGAAGGUCUUCGGGUUGUAAAGUACUUGCAGCGGGGAGGCGUUACCCGCAGAAGAAGCACCGGCUAACUCCGUGCCAGCCGCCGCGGUAAUUC
rnacentral:rRNA from 1 species